GAGACUGUUUCGAUGUAGAAGGAAGGAAAGGACGGCCGAGGAGUAAACAGAGCGAGAGCGGCGCAGGAUCGUUUAGAAAUGUUUCCGGAGAUCUGACGAGGGUUUUGGCCUUCUGUUUCCACCGAGAUCUGCAGCUGUCCGCGGGACAACCAGAAGAGUUCACGACUGUUCAGAUCGGCCAGGACUUCAGCCAACUCCCAUGAGGAACGAGUCCCUGCAGGAUCAGGAUGAAAUGCAGAUUGUUCUCCGUGUCACUGAGCGUCAACAUGGC